CGAUGGUUCCGCCAAGCGACCGCGCGGCGGAUUAAUAGGGAAUACGGUGAGGGCGACCCAAACAGGGACCGAAUCCGUAGCUGCCCCCGCAACUGUCAGCGGUGAGCAACCUCAUUUGGCCACUGACCCAAGGGCUUCAAUGUCGCGGGUUGGGAAGGCGAGGUUAUCGCGUUGAACCGCAAGCCAGGAGACCUGCCAUCAU
rnacentral:ncRNA from 1 species